GUCUCGAAUAGGUCAAAGGAGGACCUAUUUAUAAGCUUCAGAUUUCCUUCGGAUCACCAUGGAAGUUUCCAUGCAAAGUAGAAUUCUAAAGGUAAUAGAAUCGUGUGAAAUAAGGCAACUCUCCAGCUGGAUGCGCGCUCCGGAAAAACUCUCCCACUCGCGCCGAAUUCGCAGCUCUCGCCAGAGAAAUGGAUGUCACCC
rnacentral:lncRNA from 1 species